rnacentral:rRNA from 1 species
GACGAACGCUGGCGGCGUGCUUAACACAUGCAAGUCGAGCGGCAAGGCCCUUUCGGGGGUACACGAGCGGCGAACGGGUGAGUAACACGUGGGUGACCUGCCCUCAGCUCUGGGAUAAGCCUGGGAAACCGGGUCUAAUACUGGAUAUGACUCCAUGGCGCAUGUUGUGGGGUGGAAAGCCUUGUGCGGCUGAGGAUGGGCCCGCGGCCUAUCAGCUUGNGGUGGGGUGAUGGCCUACCAAGGCGACGACGGGUAGCCGGCCUGAGAGGGCGACCGGCCACACUGGGACUGAGACACGGCCCAGACUCCUACGGGAGGCAGCAGUGGGGAAUCUUGCGCAAUGGGCGAAAGCCUGACGCAGCGACGCCGCGUGAGGGAUGACGGCCUGGUGU